rnacentral:rRNA from 1 species
GCCUUUAGCUAAACAAGUAUUAAAGGUCUCGCCUGCCCAGUGAUAACUUCAACGGCCGCGGUAUUCUAACCGUGCAAAGGUAGCGUAAUCACUUGUCUUCUAAAUAAAGACUAGUAUGAACGGCUAAAUGAGGACAAACCUGUCUCUUACAACUAAUCAGUGAAACUGAUCUCCCAGUACAAAAGCUGGAAUAAUAACAUAAGACGAGAAGACCCUGUGGAGCUUUAAACCAACUAUUACUGCAACCCCCUGCACCUAACACGCGGUUUUAAGUUGGGGCGACUUUGGAACAAAACAAAACUUCCGAGCACCGAGCCACAGGCUCUAGCCGAGGUCAACAAACCAAAACAAUAAACGACCCAGUAAUACUGAUCAACGAACCAAGUUACCCCAGGGAUAACAGCGCUAUCUUCUUCAAGAGUCCAUAUCGACAAGAAGGUUUACGACCUCGAUGUUGGAUCAGGACACCCAAAUGGUGCAGCCGCUAUUAAAGGUUCGUUUGUUCAACGAUUAACAGUC